GUGUGUGGCAUCUCUCCGAACCCCCUCGACCAUCCGGACUUCUCCGACAAUGAAUUUCUGCACUCAUCUACUGGGCCACCCCAAAGGCCCUCCGGGUCCCACUAUUAGCCGACCUUCUACAGCAACCAACUAUUUUCUGAAUUUCUUCUGGACUUCGUCUGCAUCUGAGCUUCCCCGACAGCGAGAUUUCUACGGUAACCAGACUCCAUCUAAGUUUUCAUGGCGGUCGACCGCCUUUCGGAUCCCAAUCGAGCUCCCGCAAAAGCCAAACUUCUACUACGAACGGUCUAC
rnacentral:lncRNA from 1 species